rnacentral:rRNA from 1 species
GAUGAACGCUGGCGGCGUGCCUAAUACAUGCAAGUCGAGCGAACAGACGAGGAUCUUGCUCCUCUGACGUUAGCGGCGGACGGGUGAGUAACACGUGGAUAACCUACCUAUAAGACUGGGAUAACUUCGGGAAACCGGAGCUAAUACCGGAUAAUAUAUUGAACCGCAUGGUUCAAUAGUGAAUGUCGGUUUUGCUGUCACUUAUAGCUGGAUCCGCGCCGCAUUAGCUAGUUGGUAAGGUAACGGCUUACCAAGGCAACGAUGCGUAGCCGACCGGAGAGAGUGAUCGGCCACACUGGAAGUGAGACAGGGACCAGACUACUAAGGGAGGGAGCAGAAGGGAAUCUGACGCAAUGGGCGAAAGCCUGGCGGAGCGACGCCGAGUGAGUGAUGAAGGUCUUCGGAUCGUAAAACUCUGUUAUUAGGGAAGAACAAAUGUGUAAGUAACUAAGCACGUCUUGACGGUACCUAAUCAGAAAGCCCCGGCUAACUACGUG